CAGCCGCCGCGGUAAUACGAAGGGGGCUAGCGUUGCUCGGAAUCACUAGGCGUAAAGGGUGCGUAGGCGGGUCUUUAAGUCAGGGGUGAAAUCCUGGAGCUCAACUCCAGAACUGCCUUUGAUACUGAAGAUCUUGAGUUCGGGAGAGGUGGGUGGAACUGCGAGUGUAGAGGUGAAAUUCGUAGAUAUUCGCAAGAACACCAGUGGCGAAGGCGGCUCACUGGCCCGAUACUGACGCUGAGGCACGAAAGCGUGGGGAGCAAACAGGAUUAGAUACCCCGGUAGUCCCUGUCUCUUAUAC
rnacentral:rRNA from 1 species